CUGUUAAAAGUCUCUUAUCUUUCUGAUACUUCUUCGUGCUCUCUUUUAUUGUUAUUUUAAAAAAAUAUUAUUAUCUGUAAGUACAUUAAAGAUAUGUACCUACAUAUAUAUUUCCUAUACAUCGAUUGUACGAACCAAGUAAAAUAUACUGUCUAUGUAUUCGUAUGACUGACUCGAUUCGUAUAUAAACAAGGAUUUCAACUUGGCAGAUACUUGUGAUGUAAUUGAUGCGUCAUAAUCAGAAUUGUACUUCUACAAAUAUAAAUAUUUUAUACAAUUCUGUCGUUUCACAAUUGUGUUCAGGUCGAUUUGCAAAUAAAUCGUAAAUAACCUCUGUCGAUGGAGAGGAAUCUUGGAAAUUCUCACGAUAUAAGAAACUAUAUUUAGUGUGUGUAACAUUUCGUAAGAACAUUUAAAAAUAAAUAUGUACGGUCGGCAAUACUGCUUUCUUUCCCGGGUUCUUUUUAAGUUCACUUUAGCUACGCACGAUGCGAAGUACAUGGAGAGAUAGGGACCGGGACUUUCAGAAGAAGUUACCUGGUGGUGAAACCACCCAACAUUUAUUACUAGAAACUUUGCAUAAAACACAAACUGAAAAUAAUCCAAUACCAGGAUUUGAUCCUAAUAAAGAUGAUACUCAAUAUUACCGUAUCCAACAAACUAUUGAUUGCGAUGAAGUAUAUCCAGGGAUAUAUAUUGGCGAUACUGCUACGGCAAAAAAUAAAAAGUAUCUUCAGAUGUUGGGUAUAACACAUUUACUUAAUUGUGCAGAAGGAAAAAGAUUUGGUUUUGUAAAUACUGAUGCUAAUUAUUAUAAAGAUACAACAAUAAAAUAUGUUGGUUUACCACUUGCCGACUUGUGCAGUACAGAUAUUAGCAAAUACUUUUAUACUGCUGCAGAUUUUAUUGAUGAAGCUGUUUCUGCAGAUGGUAAAGCUUUCGUACACUGUGUGUUAGGAAGGUCUCGCAGUGCAACUUGUGUAUUGGCAUAUCUAAUGAUAAAAAAAGGAAUGUUGGCUGUUGAUGCCGUUAGAACAGUCCAUUCAAGACGUUUUAUAAGACCAAACGACGGUUUUCUUCAUCAGUUAGCACAAUUGGACAAUCAAUUAAGAAGACAACAUUUAUAAUUAAAUACAAUACUGAUACAGUCAUUAAAAAUCUUCCAGGAGUUUAUAACAAUACUUUAACUUACAUUUAGGAGCACACAUAAUGUGUUUCCACAAGUGUAGAUGAAUGAUUUGGCGUGCCUAUUUCGUGUAUAUCUAUGUCUGCUGGACCACUACGUUUGCGCGCUUUUGGAGAUAAUUGUUUCAAACAUUCCAUGUCAUUAAAUACAACUUGCGCACCACCUCCACUAGUUGGCAAUAUAUCUCCCUAACUUCGCCAUCCGUAUCAUGUUCUUGUGCAACGAGACAAUAUCUCGACGCCCCAUCUGUAAUCUCCUUUGGAUCUGUGAGUCGUGUAACGCUGCGUCUUCUACGCAUUAAUGGUUGUAAAACUGUCCCUAAAGGAACGAGUGCUCCUGGUCUGUGAUCAAUCCAUCUGUCAGCGCUUUGUGAACGUCUGUGCCUUGGAUUUGAAACGGUUGCCUUGUCCUAUAAACAAAACUGUUUUAAAUGAAAUUAAAAAAAAAUAAACAUAAGUAAAGAAAGCUGACCCUUCGUGAUCGACCAUCUGUUCCUUUUGUAACUGUUUCAGAAUUAUUAGUCGUAACUUUCGGAGUAAUAGGUACAGAAAUGAUACCAUUAUCAUCCACUAAAAUUUGCUUUACCAAUCUCAAUUUAUUAUCCUUUUCCUUCAUUUGAUUCUGGAAAAAUAGGAAAUAAUACACAAAAAAUUCUUAAUUAUUUUAAAUAUGUUUUACAAGUGUAUCUCAAUUUAUUACCUGUAAUUGUUCACGCUGUUGACGUAAUUUUAUUUCUAAUUCUCUAUUCAUUUUGUCAGUUUCCACUUGUAUUUUAGUAUUAUAUUUUUGUUUUACUCUCUGUUUAUCUAUUAACCGUUGAUUUAACGCCAUAUCUCU